rnacentral:rRNA from 1 species
UACGUAGGGUGCGAGCGUUGUCCGGAAUUAUUGGGCGUAAAGAGCUCGUAGGCGGCUUGUCGCGUCGGAUGUGAAAGCCCGGGGCUUAACCCCGGGUCUGCAUUCGAUACGGGCAGGCUAGAGUUCGGUAGGGGAGAUCGGAAUUCCUGGUGUAGCGGUGAAAUGCGCAGAUAUCAGGAGGAACACCGGUGGCGAAGGCGGAUCUCUGGGCCGAAAUUGACGCUGAGGAGCGAAAGCGUGGGGAGCAAACAGG